GUUUGAUCAGUGGCUACAGGACGAACGCUGGCGGCGUGCUUAACACAUGCAAGUCGAACGGUGACGGGGAGCUUGCUCCCCUGAUCAGUGGCGAACGGGUGAGUAACACGUGGGCAAUCUGCCCCUGACUUCGGGAUAACGCUUUGAAAGAGGUGCCAAUACCGGAUAUGAACCUCGCAGGCAUCUGCGAGGUUGGAAAGUUUCUCGGGUCAGGGAUGAGCCCGCGGCCUAUCAGCUAGUUGGUGAGGGUAAUGGCUCACCCAAGGCGACGACGGGUAGCCGGCCUGAGAGGGCGACCGGCCACACUGGGACUGAGACACGGCCCAGACUCCUACGGGAGGCAGCAGUGGGGAAUAUUGCGCAAUGGGCGAAAGCCUGACGCAGCAACGCCGCGUGAGGGAUGACGGCCUUCGGGUUGUAAACCUCUUUCAGCAGGGAAGAAGCGAAAGUGACGGUACCUGCAGAAGAAGCACCGGCUAACUACGUG
rnacentral:rRNA from 1 species